UAGCUCAGUUGGUACAGAAUCUGCCUGCAGUGCAGGAGACCCAGGUUUGAUUCCUGG
rfam:Ovis aries breed Texel chromosome 6, whole genome shotgun sequence.